UUUUUGUUUAAAAUUUAAAGUCUAACCUGCCCACUGAUAAAUUUUAAAGGGCCGCGGUAUUUUGACUGUGCAAAGGUAGCAUAAUCAUUUGUCUUUUAAUUGAAGGCUGGAAUGAAUGGUUGGAUGAAAUAUUAACUGUCUCAUUUUUAAAAUAAUAAAAAUUUAGCUUUUAAGUCAAAAGGCUUAAAUAUAUUUAGAGGACGAGAAGACCCUAUAGAUCUUUAUAUUUUAUUUUAAUUUAUGAAUUAGUAAAAUAAUAUAUAAAUUUAAAUUAAAUAUUUUAUUGGGGUGAUAGGAAAAUUAAGUAAACUUUUUUUAAUUUAAUACAUUGAUUUAUGAUUAAUUGAUCCAUUUUUAGUGAUUAUAAGAUUAAGUUACCUUAGGGAUAACAGCGUAAUUUUUUUAGAGAGUUCUUAUCGAUAAAAAAGAUUGCGACCUCGAUGUUGAAUUAAAGGUUAUUUCUAGAUGUAGCAGUUUAGAGUUUAGGUCUGUUCGACCUUUAAAUCUUU
rnacentral:rRNA from 1 species